GCCAGAGUGGUGUAGUGGUUUAAGCAUUGGACUAGGACUUUGGAAGACCAGCGUUCAAACCCCUGCUUGGCCA